GUGAAGGAGAGUUGCGUGUGUGUUUUUUAAUCUUUCUCCCGCUACUAUUCCCCUUUUUAAGAUGUGGAUGGGGUGGCAGAAGGAGCGGUGGAUGAGGGGGGAGCCACCAGAGUUUUUUUUACCAUCCACCAAACACAGAGCAACUGUAUUUUUGAGGCUCCUGAGGGCAACAAAACCCUGGCCCUGGACAGUGUUGCAUUUCAGACAGGACAGUACAGGCUGGUGGGGAGAAUGAUUGCCAUCUGCCUGGUGCAGGGGAAGGUCUGUUCCCGCUUUUUUUCAGAGCACCUGUACAGAGAGGUUUGUAAUCUGUCCCCUCGUCCGGCCACUUUGGAAGAGGUGACAGAUAAAAACCUCAGGACCAAGCUCCAAAAGGCAAGUAAAUGGUUAAUGUUGAAUCAAACCACUUCUUGGGGCAGUAUUUC
ensembl:lncRNA